rnacentral:rRNA from 1 species
CCCUAGUAACGGCGAGUGAAGCGGCAACAGCUCAAAUUUGAAAUCUGGCUCUUUUAGAGUCCGAGUUGUAAUUUGCAGAGGGCGCUUUGGCUUUGGCAGCGGUCCAAGUUCCUUGGAACAGGACGUCACAGAGGGUGAGAAUCCCGUACGUGGUCGCUGGCUAUUGCCGUGUAAAGCCCCUUCGACGAGUCGAGUUGUUUGGGAAUGCAGCUCUAAAUGGGAGGUACAUUUCUUCUAAAGCUAAAUAUUGGCCAGAGACCGAUAGCGCACAAGUAGAGUGAUCGAAAGAUGAAAAGCACUUUGGAAAGAGAGUCAAACAGCACGUGAAAUUGUUGAAAGGGAAGCGCUUGCAGCCAGACUUGCUUACAGUUGCUCAUCCGGGUUUCUACCCGGUGCACUCUUCUGUAGGCAGGCCAGCAUCAGUUUGGGCGGUAGGAUAAAGGUCUCUGUCACGUACCUCCUUUCGGGGAGGCCUUAUAGGGGAGACGACAUACUACCAGCCUGGACUGAGGUCCGCGCAUCUGCUAGGAUGCUGGCGUAAUGGCUGUAAGCGGCCCGUCUUGAAACACGGACCAAGGAGUCUAACAUCUAUGCGAGUGUUUGGGUGUCAAGCCCGAGCGCGUAAUGAAAGUGAACGGAGGUGGGAACCCGCAAGGGUGCACCAUCGACCGAUCCUGAUGUCUUCGGAAGGAUUUGAGUAAGAGCAUGGCUGUUGGGACCCGAAAGAUGGUGAACUAUGCUUGAAUAGGGUGAAGCCAGAGGAAACUCUGGUGGAGGCUCGCAGCGGUUCUGACGUGCAAAUCGAUCGUCAAAUUUGGGCAUAGGGGCGAAAGACUAAUCGAACUAUCUAGUAGCUGGUUCCUGCCGA